CGUCGAGCUUUUACCAAGGACGUUUUUAGGACAAAUCACAAAUAUGCGAUCUGUGGUUCAUCUGAAAGUUUGCACGAUUACUUGGAUUUGAAGGGGAAAAGGUCUUCUGGACUACAUGACCACAGUUGGUGUCAGCAAAAGCAAGACGUUCCUUCAGACUGAUGCAAGGCUUCAGAGGAUACGGGGACGGCAGAGUGGCUGCUCAGAUGAUGUGAAAGAGGUGGUCCUGCUUCUGCUCAGCUACUUUGAAGAGAAGGAGUCCAUGCUUUUCCAUGUAGAAGAUGCAUGUCUGGCAGAUGAGGUGCAACUGGAGCAAGUGUCUCUGACACCCACGAUUAUUGUCUUUGGUCAGUCCUGCUAUUCCUUAAGAUGAUACAUGCUGAGUCUUGAUCGGAACCUCGUCAGCACAAACAUAUCCUCAUUCAUUUCUGCACUGUGCAUCGUGUUCGGGAGCUACUACAAUUUUAACAUCCAUUAUCUGGCUUCCACUCUGGAGGUUCUUCGAAGGUGAGCAAAUAUGUCUUUCUUAUUUCUUAGACCUGAGAAUCUCGCGUUACAACAAUUGUGAUUGAGACUCUGAGAUCUGGAGU